ACUCCUACGGGAGGCAGCAGUGGGGAAUAUUGCACAAUGGGCGCAAGCCUGAUGCAGCCAUGCCGCGUGUAUGAAGAAGGCCUUCGGGUUGUAAAGUACUUUCAGCGGGGAGGAAGGCAAUACGGUUAAUAACCGUGUUGAUUGACGUUACCCGCAGAAGAAGCACCGGCUAACUCCGUGCCAGCAGCCGCGGUAAUACGGAGGGUGCAAGCGUUAAUCGGAAUUACUGGGCGUAAAGCGCACGCAGGCGGUCUGUCAAGUCGGAUGUGAAAUCCCCGGGCUCAACCUGGGAACUGCAUUCGAAACUGGCAGGCUUGAGUCUUGUAGAGGGGGGUAGAAUUCCAGGUGUAGCGGUGAAAUGCGUAGAGAUCUGGAGGAAUACCGGUGGCGAAGGCGGCCCCCUGGACAAAGACUGACGCUCAGGUGCGAAAGCGUGGGGAGCAAACAGGAUUAGAAACCCGUGUAGUCCC
rnacentral:rRNA from 1 species